rnacentral:rRNA from 1 species
UACGGAGGGAGCUAGCGUUGUUCGGAAUUACUGGGCGUAAAGCGCACGUAGGCGGCUUUGUAAGUUAGAGGUGAAAUCCCGGGGCUCAACCCCGGAACUGCCUUUGAUACUGGCAUUCUCGAGUCCGGAAGAGGUGAGUGGAAUUCCGAGUGUAGAGGUGAAAUUCGUAGAUAUUCGGAGGAACACCAGUGGCGAAGGCGGCUCACUGGUCCGGUACUGACGCUGAGGUGCGAAAGCGUGGGGGAGCAAACAGG